CCUACGGGUGGCUGCAGUCGGGGAUAUUGCACAAUGGGGGAAACCCUGAUGCAGUGACGCCGCGUGAGUGAAGAAGUAUUUCGGUAUGUAAACCUCUAUCAGCAGGGAAGAAAAUGACAGUUCCUUACCAAGAAGCCUCGGCUAACUUCGUGCCCGCAGCCGCGGUAAUACGUAGGGGGCCAGCGUUAUCCGGAUUUACUUGGUGUAAAGGGGGCGUAGACGGAUAUGUAAGUCAGGUGUGAAAGCCCGGGGCCGAACCGAGGGACUGCUUUUGAAACUUCGUAACUGGAGUACAGGAGAGGAAGGCGGAAUUCCUGGUGUAGCGGUGAAAUGCGUAGAUAUCAGGAGGAACACCAGCGGCGAAGGCGGCCUGCUGGACUGAAACUGACGUUGAGGCUCGAAAGCGUGGGGAGCAAACAGGAUUAGAUACCCGAGUAGUC
rnacentral:rRNA from 1 species